UACGUAGGGAGCAAGCGUUGUCCGGAAUCAUUGGGCGUAAAGCGCGCGUAGGUGGCCUCAUAAGUCCGCUGUGAAAGUCAAAGGCUCAACUUUUGAAAGCCGGUGGAUACUGUGAGGCUAGAGUACGGAAGAGGCAAGUGGAAUUCGUGGUGUAGCGGUGGAAUGCGCAGAUAUCAGGAGGAACACCAAUAGCGAAGGCAGCUCGCUGGGACGUUACUGACACUGAGGCGCGAAAGCGUGGGGAGCGAACAGG
rnacentral:rRNA from 1 species